rnacentral:ncRNA from 1 species
UUUCUGGGAAGAUUGGCAGAUUGAGAGCUCUUUCUUGAUUUGGUGGAUGGUGGUGCAUUGCCGUUCUUAGUUGGUGGAGCGAUUUGUGUGGUUAAUUCCGAUAACGAACGAGACUCCAGCCUAUUAAAAAGGUGCGUAGUCCUCUGCACCUUGCACGCUUCUUAGAGGGAAAAGCGGCUCCUAGCCACACGAAACAAAGCAAUGACAUAUCUGUAAUGCCUUUAGAUGUCCGGGGUCGCACGCGCACUGCAGUGAAGGAAGCGGCCUCUCUUUAUUCCUGACUGUUAACACAGUAAGCUUAGAAAAAUGUGGCUCGAGCAAAUACGGAGGGCUAAUUGAAGUCCAUCGGAUUACCCCCGAGCA